GUACUGCACGAAGCAUUCUGAGGGAUAUGAGUGACCUAGAUGGAAUUUUCCCAUCCUGCAUAACAGGAUAAAUGUCCAAAGGCCCAAUAUUGAACUGGACAAGGAUGACAUAGUAUAUGCCUUGUGUUCAAUAUAUAUAAGGGCAAAAGGGUAAUUGGACACAUAUGUAUCAUCACAAAAGGAUUUGUCAGAUCACAUGGCAUUUUCCUGUGUUGGGUAGCAGUGAUGUGUUGCUAGAUACCGUUCA
rnacentral:lncRNA from 1 species